rnacentral:rRNA from 1 species
CCUAUGCCUCCUGCCACAUAUUUGAACUCUAUCAGGAAGACAACGGAUCAUUCACAGUGGCCAUGUUUUACCGCAAUGACACCAGAAGAGCGCCUUACCAACUGGCUGUACCUGGCUGUGACCUCUUCUGCCCCCUAGAGGACUUUGUGCGCAUCACCAAACCAUCCAUCCCAGAGGAUUGGGACAAGGAGUGCAUGGUGGAGUCUCCUACAAAGGAUACAGAGGUGGUCAUCGGACUCGCAGUUUGUGGCUGUUUGCUCUUCCUCCUUAUCGUCCUCCUGCUCGCUGUGCUUUGUCGGCAACAUGAUCCCUCCAACGGCUACAGUCAGAUUCACAAUGAGAUUGAUUCUUGACAAAUGUACAAACUCCACCAUAGGCAGGAUUCAUGGGAUAGUGAAGAUGUUUGAAUGCCUCAGUUCUGCCCUCUGGUGGGGAUGCAGGAAAAAGGAACACUAGACUGCUUUUAGUGCAACUUUUUAUUUUUGUUUUUUUCCCUUCAAAGUGGACUGUGGCCUUUUACCAAAAAUGCACAAACUUACCCGAGAGGACAAAGAUUAUCUAGUACUCUAGUCAACUGUUGUCAUGGUAAGUAUUCCUAAGUUUGUAAAUUAAGUCGGCUACUGGAUUCAGACAAUUGCCUUUUAAAUGUUUUCAAAUACUCAUUUUACUCACGGGUCCAAGUCACCUAACCAGCGUUCUUACAAAAUGUGGACCACUGGAUGCUUCAUGCUUGUUUGAUUCUCCCCUUGGAGAAUAAUGAUCAUUGUGACACUGAACCCGAAGACUGCUUGUGCUUCAUUUCUCUCCAAGGAACAGAUUUUGGCCGACUGUACUGAGCAUUCUUCUAGCAAGUCAUUUGAUAAAGAAUGCUAUUUAUUUCCUCUGGUGGUGAUUGUCAUGGUACUUGGAGAAGCCUUCACAUCAUGGUAGUCUUGGUAAAGAAUGUCCAAUGACUACCCUUGUAUAUGGCACACUCUUUAGUUUGUCCAUUUUCAUCUCACACGAUUUUACAUUUUAAAUUUUUCAAAGUUUAUAAUUUCAAUUGCUCCUUGGUAAUGUGACCGACUGACCUCAAACUACUUUCAGAAUGUCCACGGACUGGCGGAGACAGGCGCCACGAGGCAUACAGUGUGGUAAUGCGGCCGAUCCCGGAGAAGCUGGCAGGAGCCCUGGAAUGGGUUCGCCACGAGCGAGGGGCCCAAGCCCUGGAAAGCGUUGCUGUUUCCGCACCGUCCGGUGAGCUCUCCCUGGCUUUUGAAAGUCCGGGGGAGAGGGUGUAAAUCUCACGCCGGGCCAUAUUACUUUACUGUUCGGAAGGGAGGGGCGAGGGGGGGGCGACCGCCGUGGGGAGGGGGGGGGCGUUGAGGGGGGGGCGACCGCCGUGGGGGGGGGGGGGGGGAGGCCCCCCCCGCCCCCGGGCCGAUCGAAAGGGAGUCGGGUUCAGAUCCCCGAAUCCGGAGUGGCGGAGAUGGGCGCCGCGAGGCGUCCCGUGCGGUAACGCGACCGAUCCCGGAGAAGCUGGCGGAGCCCCGGGGAGNNNNNNUGGUAAGGGAAGUCCGGCAAGUCAGAUCCGUAACUUCGGGAUAAGGAUUGGCUCUAAAGGGCUGGGUCGGUCGGGCUGGGGUGCAAGGGGGCUGGGCUCGAGCCGCGGCUGGGGGAGCAGUUGCUCCGCCGCCCUCCUCUUGCCACCGUUGGAAGUUUGUCGUGCGGCCCCAUCUCGGGGCCUCGGUCGUGGUCCCAAGGGGCUGCGUGUGGGGGUUUAUCGGGGUGGUGUCCGCCGGUGGGCGAAGACGGACCGGUGAGGGGUUGGGUCCGGCGGUUGGAGCUGCGACUCUGGACGCGUGCCGGGCCCUUCUCGCGAUCUCCCCCAGCUACGGUUGCUCGUGGCCCGUUAACGCGGGGUCUCCGGCGGGUUGCCUCGGCCGCGCCUAGCAGCUGAACUUUAGAACUGGUGCGGACCAGGGGAAUCCGACUGUUUCAGAACUGGUGCGGACCAGGGGGAUCGACUGUCUAAUUAAAACAAAUCAUCGCGAAGGCCCAAGGUGGGGUGUUGACCGCGAUGUGAUUUCUGCCCAGUGCGCUCUGAAUUGUCAAAGUGAGAAAUUCAAUGAAGCGCGGGUAAACGGCGGGAGUUACCUAUGACUCUCUUAAGGUAGCCAAAUGCCUCGUCUCUAAUUAGUGACGCGCAUGAAUGGAUGAACGAGAUUCCCACUGUCCCUACCUACUAAUGGAUGAACGAGAUUCCCACUGUGCCUACCUACUAUCUAGCGAAACCACAAGCCAAAGGGAACGGGCUUGGCGGAAUCAGCGGGGAAAGAAGACCCUGUUGAGCUUGACCCUAGUCUGGCACUGGAAGGAGACAUGAGAGGUGUAGAAUAAGUGGGAGGCCCCGGCCGCCGGUGAAAUAAUACCAUACUCUUAUCGUUUUUUCAUUUACCCGGUGAGGCCGGGAGGCGAGCCCCGAGCGGGCUCUCGCUUCUGGCUUCACGCACCCGGCUCGCGUCGGGGGCGACCCGCUCCGGGGACAGUGGCAGGUGGGGAGUUUGAUGGGGCGGUACACCUGUCAAACCGGUAAAGCAGGGGUCCUAAGGCGCUCAGGGAGGACAGAAACCUCCCGUGGAGCAGAGGGCCAAAGGCUCGCUUGAUCUUGAUUUUCAGUAUGAAUACAGACCGUGGAAAGCGGUCCUCACGAUCCCUCCUGACUCUUUUUGGGUUUUAAGCAGGAGGUGUCAGAAAAGUUACCACAGGGAUAACUGGCUUGUGGCGGCCCAACGUUCAUAGCGACGGCGUUUUUUAUUCUUCGAUGUCGGCUCUUCCUAUCAUUUUGAGAAGCAGAAUUCACCAAGCGUUGGAUUGUUCACCCACUAAUAGGAAGGUGAGCUGGGUUUAGACCGUCGUGAGACAGGGUUAUGUUUUUCCUACUGAUGAUGUGUUGUUGCAAUAGUUAUUCCUGCUCAGUACGAGAGGAACGCAGGUUCAGUCAUUUGGUGUAUAUGUGCUUGGCUGAGGAGCCCAAUGGUGCGAAGCUACCAUCUGUGGGAUUAUGACUGAACGCCUCUAAGUCAGAACCCCCCUUAAACGUAAUGAUACCGUAGCGCCGUGGAGCUUCCGUUGGCCCCGGGAUAGCCUGCCUCCUUUGGGCAGGUGAGUAGAGCCUUUCGUGACAGGGUCGGGGUACGGGCGGAUGGGGUGCCGCCCACGCCCCUCUCCUGAUGCGCACCGCAUGUUUGUGGAGAACCUGGUGCUAAAUCACUCGUAUACGACCUGAUUCUUGGUUCAGGGGUUCGUGCGUAGCAGAGCAGCUCACUCGCUGCGAUCUAUUGAAAGUCAGCCUUCGAUCCAAGCUUUUGUCUCGUAG